GAACGCACCUUGCACCCUCUGGUAUUCCGGAGGGUACACCCGUUUGAGUGUCAUUGUAAUCUCACACCCAGGAUUCGGUCCAAGGGUUGUGGACUCUGGAUGCUGUCGUGCGAACACGGCUCGUCUCAAAUGCAUGAGUGUACCCUUCCUGCGUGGUGUAUUCAGUGUGAUAAGCAUCCUCACUGGUACCCAGCCCCCCGGGGUUGAGCCACAGUGGUCAGGCCCUGCACCUCCAACUGUCUUUGGACAAAGCCUGACAUUUGACCUCAAAUCAGGUAGGACUACCCGCUGAACUUAAG
rnacentral:misc_RNA from 1 species